CUUAUCCAGAGCGGCGGAGGGACAGGCCCUAUGAAGCCCGGCAACCGGCAAAUGUUUGCAAGGUGCCAAAUCCUGCGGGGAAAGCCCCGAAAGAUGAGG
rnacentral:ncRNA from 1 species